rnacentral:piRNA from 1 species
UUCAAUUGAUCCCUACAUAUGGUUACU